rnacentral:rRNA from 1 species
UCGAGCGGACCGACGGGAGCUUGCUCCCUUAGGUCAGCGGCGGACGGGUGAGUAACACGUGGGUAACCUGCCUGUAAGACUGGGAUAACUCCGGGAAACCGGGGCUAAUACCGGAUGCUUGAUUGAACCGCAUGGUUCAAUCAUAAAAGGUGGCUUUUAGCUACCACUUGCAGAUGGACCCGCGGCGCAUUAGCUAGUUGGUGAGGUAACGGCUCACCAAGGCGACGAUGCGUAGCCGACCUGAGAGGGUGAUCGGCCACACUGGGACUGAGACACGGCCCAGACUCCUACGGGAGGCAGCAGUAGGGAAUCUUCCGCAAUGGACGAAAGUCUGACGGAGCAACGCCGCGUGAGUGAUGAAGGUUUUCGGAUCGUAAAACUCUGUUGUUAGGGAAGAACAAGUACCGUUCGAAUAGGGCGGUACCUUGACGGUACCUAACCAGAAAGCCACGGCUAACUACGUGCCAGCAGCCGCGGUAAUACGUAGGUGGCAAGCGUUGUCCGGAAUUAUUGGGCGUAAAGCGCGCGCAGG